rnacentral:rRNA from 1 species
UACAGAGGGUGCAAGCGUUAUUCGGAAUUAUUGGGCGUAAAGCGCAUGUAGGUGGUUAGAUAAGUCUGAUGUGAAAUCCCCGGACCCAAUUCGGGAAGUGCAUUGGAUACUGUUUGACUAGAGUAUGGGAGAGGUAAGCGGAAUUCCAGGUGUAGAGGUGAAAUUCGUAGAUAUCUGGAGGAACAACAGAGGCGAAGGCGGCUUACUGGACCAUUACUGACACUGAGAUGCGAAAGCGUGGGGAGCAAACAGG